ACUAUAUUAUUUAUAGAACACACAAGGGAGCAGUUGAUAUUGAUUUCUUUGAAUUAACAAUUUAAACAAAAAAUAAAUGACGCGCAAUUUUAAUUGCAAUAUUCAUAUUUUCCGCCUUCUUUCGAAAACGAGUGGGAAUGUCAGCUGACUAAGCUUUUUAACUUACACGAUGGUACGUGUUUCUAAAAUCUCCGUCAACCGUCAAGGACCUCUUGAAACAGUUUAUUCCGAAGAUUUGCAAAGUAGCCGCAAUUUUGUAUUAAAGUGUCAAUAUACAAAUUUUUUAUACAUCCAAAUUCAUAUUUAGCAAA